rnacentral:rRNA from 1 species
GACGAACCGAGCGAACGUUAUUCGGAAUCACUGGGCUUAAAGGGCGCGUAGGCGGGCCAUCAAGUCAGGGGUGAAAGCCCCCAGCUCAACUGGGGAAGUGCCUUUGAUACUGGUGGUCUCGAGGGGGAUAGGGGCGUGCGGAACUUCCGGUGGAGCGGUGAAGUGCGUAGAUAUCGGAAGGAACACCGGUGGCGAAAGCGGCGCGCUGGAUCCCUUCUGACGCUGAGGCGCGAAAGCCAGGGGAGCGAACGGG